AUUACAAUAAUUUUCGAAAUAAAUAAUAAAAAAUUUCGACAUAUUUCAUUUUUUAUGAACAAAUCCUACUACUUCUGGUCCUGAAGUUUCCACGCUUGAAAAAACACAACUUGGGACGUAUCACUCAAAUCAUUGGUCCGAUACUAGAUGUAGCU